GAUGAACGCUGGCGGCGUGCCUAAUACAUGCAAGUCGAGCGGCAGCACGGUCUUCGGACUGGUGGCGAGCGGCGGACGGCUGAGUAACGCGUAGGAAUAUACCCCAAAGUGAGGGAUAACUGCCCGAAAGGGUGGCUAAUACCGCAUGUGGUCUUCGGACUAAAGCCUUCGGGCGCUUUGGGAAUAGCCUGCGUAAGAUUAGCUAGUUGGUGAGGUAAUGGCUCACCAAGGCGACGAUCUUUAGCUGGUCUGAGAGGAUGACCAGCCAGACUGGAACUGAGACACGGUCCAGACUCCUACGGGAGGCAGCAGUAGGGAAUUUUCCACAAUGGGCGAAAGCCUGAUGGAGCAACGCCGCGUGCAGGAUGAAGGCCCUCGGGUCGUAAACUGCUUUUAUGUGCGAAGAAUAUGACGGUAACACAUGAAUAAAGGGUCGGCUAACUACGUGCCAGCAGCCGCGGUAAU
rnacentral:rRNA from 1 species